GGCAAGAUGGCCGAGUUGGUUAUGGCGUGAGGUUAAGGUCCCAUCCUUAACAUCCUAUCUAGGUAUCCUCAUGGAGCAAUCCGCGUGGGUUCAAGUCCCACUCUUGUCA